GCUGUUUUAGUUUAAUUUUUUUUUAAAAUUUCUAACUUGUAAUUAGAAGAUUUAUUUCAGUU
rnacentral:tRNA from 1 species